GACGAACGCUGGCGGCGUGCCUAAUACAUGCAAGUCGAACGCUUCUUUCCUCCCGAGUGCUUGCGCUCAAUUGGAAAGAGGAGUGGCGGACGGGUGAGUAACACGUGGGUAACCUACCCAUCAGAGGGGGAUAACACUUGGAAACAGGUGCUAAUACCGCACAACAGUUUAUGCCGCAUGGCAUAAGAGUGAAAGGCGCUUUCGGGUGUCGCUGAUGGAUGGACCCGCGGUGCAUUAGCUAGUUGGUGAGGUAACGGCUCACCAAGGCCACGAUGCAUAGCCGACCUGAGAGGGUGAUCGGCCACACUGGGACUGAGACACGGCCCAGACUCCUACGGGAGGCAGCAGUAGGGAAUCUUCGGCAAUGGACGAAAGUCUGACCGAGCAACGCCGCGUGAGUGAAGAAGGUUUUCGGAUCGUAAAACUCUGUUGUUAGAGAAGAACAAGGACGUUAGUAACUGAACGUCCCCUGACGGUAUCUAACCAGAAAGCCACGGCUAACUACGUG
rnacentral:rRNA from 1 species